AAUAUAUCUUGAAACAUACCUUAACUUCAAAUAGCUAUAACUUCUUUAUUCUAAUUCCAAAACUUCUAAAUUUUGUAUAAAAAUUAUAGUCCAAAUCCUAAAUCUUAUAAUUCUUGCUUUUGAUUUUCAAAUGCCUCUUAUAAAGUUGCCAAAAUCCUUGUUAUGGUUGUAGGCAGCUUGCUAAAAGCCUAUUAGGCAUGGCCUUCAACCAAUAGAGAUAAAGACCUUUAUCACUUGACUUCAUCCAUCCAUACCUUCUUUUCAUUUUUCUAAAUAAGCUUCUUAGUAGUUUGAAUUUUCACCUUUAAACUCCUAUCUUUUCUAAAAACUUUAUAUU
rnacentral:lncRNA from 1 species